UUAGUGGCGAACGGGUGAGUAACGCGUUGGUGACCUGCCCCGAAGCCGGGGGGAUAACGAGCUCGAACGGGCUGCUAAUACCCCAUGUGCUCUCUAUUGUUAGAGGAUAGAGCGGAAAGGCGUAAGCCACUUUGGGAUGGACUCGCGUCAGAUUAGCUAGUUGGUGAGGUACGGCUCACCAAGGCGACGAUCUGUAGCCGAACUGAGAGGUUGAUCGGCCGCAUUGGGACUGAGACACGGCCCAGACUCCUACGGGAGGCAGCAGUGGGGAAUAUUGCGCAAUGGGGGAAACCCUGACGCAGCAACGCCGCGUGCAGGAAGAAGGUCUUCGGAUUGUAAACUGUUGUCGCAAGGGAAGAAGACAGUGACGGUACCUUGUGAGAAAGUCACGGCUAACUACGUG
rnacentral:rRNA from 1 species